CCCGGGCCUUGUACACACCGCCCGUCACACCAUGAGAGUUGGGGAUACCCGAAGCCUGUGAACUAACAGUAAUGGAGCAGCAGUCGAAGGUAGAAUCAAUGAUUGGGGUGAAGUCGUAACAAGGUAGC
rnacentral:rRNA from 1 species